AGAGGAAGAAAGUAAAAAUGAUGGUGAUGGCAAAGACGCUUGCUUACAGGGGAUGGCGGUAAUGGAAGAGAAAAUGGCUACUGAUAUGCGCUAAUGACAGUAAAAAACAAGAAGGUUUGGCUAAUAGGAAAAAAAAAGAUACGUAGAAAAAUUAAAUCAGAUUGGAGGAGAAAGUAAUAAUAGGCGACACAAUGGAAGAGGAGAAUGAGGAGAAAAAAAGAAAGAAAAUAAAAGAAAAUACAGAGAACAAAG
rnacentral:lncRNA from 1 species